AUGCACGCUGGCGGCGUGCCUAAUACAUGCUAGUCGCGCGAACGGACGAGAAGCUUGCUUCUCUGAUGUUAGCGGCGGACGGGUGAGUAACACGUGGAUAACCUACCUAUAAGACUGGGAUAACUUCGGGAAACCGGAGCUAAUACCGGAUAAUAUUUUGAACCGCAUGGUUCAAAAGUGAAAGACGGUCUUGCUGUCACUUAUAGAUGGAUCCGCGCUGCAUUAGCUAGUUGGUAAGGUAACGGCUUACCAAGGCAACGAUGCAUAGCCGACCUGAGAGGGUGAUCGGCCACACUGGAACUGAGACACGGUCCAGACUCCUACGGGAGGCAGCAGUAGGGAAUCUUCCGCAAAGGGCGAAAGCCUGACGGAGCAACGCCGCGUGAGUGAUGAAGGUCUUCGGAUCGUAAAACUCUGUUAUUAGGGAAGAACAUAUGUGUAAGUAACUGUGCACAUCUUGACGGUACCUAAUCAGAAAGCCACGGCUAACUACGUG
rnacentral:rRNA from 1 species